rnacentral:tRNA from 1 species
GCGGCUAUGGCGAAAUUGGUAGACGCGACGGUUUUAGGUACCGUUGGGCAACCGUGGGGGUUCGAGUCCCUCUAGCCGCACCA